ensembl:lncRNA
GGAAGACCUUGAACUCACCUCUUCCCACGGAUACACCAAAAUUACAAGUACUUAUAGAUCAACUGUCCAUGCUAACGAGCCAGAGUCUGGCUGCCUUCUGGAUAAAGAGCAGGGCCUUCCGGGCUCGUGUGCCUUUGCUGUGGCUCCGCCCAGGUGCAUCACCGUGUGGAGGGAAGGCUACUUCUUAUCGGAUACAAGACUUCUGAACUCUGGGAAAGAAUUCUUCGGGCAAUAUGCCACUGGAAAGUGAGGCUUGAGUCACCCCAAAGUCAGGACUGUCUUCAACUCUUCACGACACAGAGCAAAGAGGAUGGGGGAUACCAUUUCCAGAUGAAGGGCUGUGGCAGGAAUUUUGUGAAGUGUGUCAAGAAUUAAAGCAGAAAGAAUGACUGUUUACUGUAUUUGCUGUGUGCUAG